AACGAACGCUGGCGGCACGUUUUAAGCAUGCAAGUCGAAUGGCAGUGGGGGCAACCCCAUGAGAAUGGCGAACGGGUGAGUAACACGUAGGUGAUCUGCCUGACGGUUGGGGAUAGCCUGUGGAAACACAGGGUAAUACCGAAUGAGCUGACGACACUUUGGUGAUGUUAGUAACGGUACUACGGCACCGCCGACAGAGGAGCCUGCGGCUGAUUAGCUAGUUGGUGGGGUAAAGGCCUACCAAGGCGACGAUCAGUAGCCGGCCUGAGAGGGUGGACGGCCACAGUGGAACUGAGACACGGUCCAGACUCCUACGGGAGGCAGCAGCUAAGAAUCUUCCGCAAUGGGCGAAAGCCUGACGGAGCGAUGCCGCGUGAUCGAUGAAGGUCGAGAGAUUGUAAAGAUCUUUUCCACAUGAGGAAUAAGUCUGGGAGGGAAUGCCUGGAUGAUGACGUUAGUGUGGGAAUAAGCCCCGGCUAAUUACGUGCCAGCCGCCGCAGUAA
rnacentral:rRNA from 1 species